rnacentral:tRNA from 1 species
GCGGGGGUAGCAAAGUCUGGUCAAAUGCGCAGGACUUAAGAUCCUGUCCUUAAGUAGGUUCGUGGGUUCGAAGCCCUCCCCCCGCA